UGAUCAGUAUUCUGGUGAUGGCGUGCGUUGUGAUUGGAGGUUGGAACCUGACGUGUCUGUGACAGUGUGGCUGUCAGUCACCGCACCAGUGUGGAUCUUCACUUACUUCACAAUUACAGAUUCAACGUCUUGGAAGUUUGUUUAAAAUAAGAAGUUUCACUGGAAAAUAUCAUCUGAACAAGUACGUAACAUGUCUGCCACUUUUGUUCUGAACAACUGAGGAAAAAAAACUUUUUACAAUAAAUCGCUGCUACACAGCUACAUUGUGUGUCUCAUCCACUAGAACUUUAAACUUCAUUUCCACAAAUAUAAACCUUUUCACUCCUCAGACAGAGACGCUUUAUUAAGAGAAAAUACAGUCAAGAGUUUGGAAAUAUUGAGUUAAUUUAACAACAGGCUAAAAAAAAAGCGUCGUACAAAAACCUCCGUCACACUCAAAUGAACACAAACUCCAGCAGAGAAAGAGACGAACGACACUCACACACACUGAUAUGAGACUCAACAGCAGCUCUUCUCAACAUUAAAUAAUGAUUAUUGGACUGAAGUGACUUUCACAGAAACAGCCUCAUCAUCUCUAAAUGUCUCUUGAUGCAUGAAAAAUAAGAAUAGAACUGUAAAAUAACAAAUAAAAUAAAAAAAUUAACUAAAUUACAUAAUUCAGAAAAUGUAUGUAUGUAUGUAUGUUCUGAUCACACAUAAGACAUAAUUAUGGGUUUUUAAAUGAUCAUGUAUUUCUCAAAGCAUUUUUAAUGAUUAAAGCAAUUUUAAGUUUUGAUGACCUGUGACCUCUGGAAUGACCUUUGCCCUCGCAUGGAGUUCACAGUGAAAUACUUGUUUCUUUUAGUGAUGCAACUUCAGAAAAUAAUCAGAAAUCCUCUAAACUCAUGAUUCCAUGUUUCUGAAUCAUAACAUGAGAAAAGAUCCUAAACACGGUUAGUUUUAUUUGCAUUAUAUGUUGGAACCCUUACACAGAUUUACAUAGAGAUUAUUUGCAUCGCAGCACAAGCUUCAGGAGGAUUUAUAACUCUGUUUUUAUAAGAACUUUAUAACUCUGUGAAUCUGAACCAACAGCAACCAUGAGCUUCAUCACCAUCUUCAUCUGGAUAUUAACUAUCUACUGUUUCACAGAAUCAAGCGGUGAAGUGACAGUCACUCAGACGCCUGCAGUGAAAUCUGUUCGUCCAGGAGACUCAGUUACUGUAUCCUGUAAAACCAGUCCUGAAGUCUAUCAGGGUUGGGGUAAUCAACCUCUAGCCUGGUACUUACAGAAACCUGGAGAAGCUCCUAAACUCCUGAUUUAUUUAGCAAGCACCCUCCAGUCAGGAACUCCAUCUAGAUUCAGUGGCAGUGGAUCUAACAGUGAUUUCACUCUGACCAUCAGUGGAGUCCAGACUGAAGAUGCUGGACAUUAUUACUGUCAUAGUUUCCACUAUCCAAACAGUAAAUAUGUGUUCACACAGUGAUAAAGAGUCGUACAAAAACCUCCGUCAGUCAGAGUCACAGUGACUGAACUGAUACUGCAGCUGCUCAAAGGAGGAUCUGAAACAACAUCGUCACACAAACAUCUGAAAUAAAAUCAUCUAAAUUAAUCUGCCACUCUUAAUAAUUAUAGAGGUCAGAAAGAGAUUUUGUGCUCUUAUAGAUCAGUCACACGUUUGAGAUCUGACUGAUUUCAGUUGCUGCAUUUUAUUAAUAAUAGAUGUUAAUUUUCAUAAUUCUCCAUGGUUAUUUGAUUUGAGUAUCUCAUCCUAACAUGUCAUUUGUACACUAUACACUGUAUUCAUACUAUAUACUGCAGACAGUAAGAGUUUUAUAUCAGCUGCUGUUUUAAUUGUAGUCCUGAUCAACAGUUCAGUUCAGACACGCCUCUCCCUCCUCUGCACCAAUCACAG